AACGAACGCUGGCGGCAGGCCUAACACAUGCAAGUCGAACGCACCGCAAGGUGAGUGGCGCACGGGUGAGUAACACGUGGGAAUGUAUCCUUUGGUUCGGAAUAACGUCUGGAAACGGACGCUAAUACCGGAUGAGCCCUAUGGGGGAAAGAUUUAUCGCCGAAGGAGCAGCCCGCGUCUGAUUAGGUAGUUGGUGGGGUAAAGGCCUACCAAGCCGACGAUCAGUAGCUGGUCUGAGAGGAUGAUCAGCCACACUGGGACUGAGACACGGCCCAGACUCCUACGGGAGGCAGCAGUGGGGAAUAUUGGACAAUGGGCGCAAGCCUGAUCCAGCCAUGCCGCGUGAGUGAUGAAGGCCUUCGGGUUGUAAAGCUCUUUCGCACACGACGAUGAUGACGGUAGCGUGAGAAGAAGCCCCGGCUAACUUCGUGCCAGCCGCCGCAGUAAUAC
rnacentral:rRNA from 1 species